AUGACCCUUCUCUCAGAAAGACUGCUGCACCAGAGACAUCGUUCUGCUUGUACGCUUGAUGGUGUAACAGGAGCACGUUUUCGGCUCGCUCCGGAACCCUGAUUUACAAUGGUGGGGGCCCGGGGCAGCGUACAUGGUGGGUGCCCUUUUGCCUGGUCAGUACUUUUCGUGGUGCUUCAGAAGGAUAAAUUGUGACCAGGUCCAUGGAGAUGCCUGACCUGGAUGCGACUAUUCCGUGCGAUAUUUUGCAUCUUCUAAGAUCUUUCAUCAACUGUCUUGCACGCUAUUGAAAACUACACUACGCUGCUAGCGUAAAUUGGAAUCUUCCGUGACUUCCUUACUGAAAAGUCCGCAAUCAGCUCUGUAAAAUCAAGCUGUCUAAGAAUGUCCCUUUCUAUGGAUAACUGUGGCAAGUUGCAUCUUUCCAACCAUGCAGUAGUGAUCGAAUGCUUCGAGCUAAGCGGCAAGAAAGCCUUUGAACGAUCUCAACGAGGAACGGCAUUUCAUGCUCUGUUCUAACAGUCCCAGAUUUCAUCUUCCACCACAGAUGCACAUCACACCCACAACAACACGCGCAAGCAUGAAGGACGUCGCCGCUUCAAAUCUGGCCACCUUAUUUGUAGUCGUCGGCGUCACGCUGAGGCGUCCAGCACGAGACAGACGUUGACUCUCACGGCCUGCACGUGAUCUGGAAGCCGCCGCCGCUUCCUCGCUCGGAGUUCCGAGGGAGCGUAAUGAUGCCCUUCCCCGCUUUUGUCAUGGAGAACGUGAAACAGCCGGAGAGAGUGAGCUCGAAGGAGGGCCAUAAUUAGAGCACCUGUCGCUGGGGCCCGACCUUCCGCCGCCGAUUUGGGCACAGGACCAUUUCGACUGCCAACGUGAAGGUUUUCAUGUGCAUCCCAGUUCGUUCACUCAUGAUCUAAGUCUCAAAGGAGCACUGAGGUGCACCACCUGUUCCGCCAGAGAGGCCUCUGUUCCGCACA